rnacentral:lncRNA from 1 species
GCUGGGGAUGUGGCUCAGUGGUAAAGCCCCUCUGAUUUUCCCUGGUACUGAGAGAGAGAGAGAGAGAGAGAGAGAGAGAGAGAGAGAGAGAGAGAGACCUUUAAGGGGAUAUAGUGAUGGGGCAGAGAAGGAUUGGCUUGGCCCAGUCCUGCCCAGGCAGCUUGGCCCCCAGCUAGCACUCCAUCCCAAUGCUUCACCCCAGUCAAGGGCCCUUUCCUCUUAGGCUGCAUAUUUAUUGGCUCCUAGGUUUCUUGGAUACUGAGGCCAGGCUGACCAGCCCUCAGGACAGAACUGAAGGUCUGGACCAUGCUCCCUGAGUUUAAAGGUAAUUGUUCUCAUCUCUUCCUGUGUGAAGACUGGGUAGGGGAGGAGGCUCACCCAAGAUCACACAGUGAAUCAACAAUGACUGGUCCCAGAUAGUGCCCCUCAGCCAGGUGGAAGAUCAUGGCUCAAUGAACAUCCUUAUGGCUCACAUUCCCAAGACUCUGAGAGGUGCCUGGGAGAGACACCCGUGUGCAGGAGAACCUUGGUCAUCCUGUGUUUUAGUUAGCUUUGCGUCACUGUGACCAAAAUACCUGACAAGAACAACUUAGCGGAGGAUAAGUUUAUUUUGGUACAUAUGAUCAGAGAUCUCAGUCCAUAGAUGGCUGACUCCAUUGCUCUGGGCUCAAGGUAUGGCAAUGCAUCAUGGCUGAAGAGCCCAGCAGUGGAAAACUGCUCAGCGCAUGGCGGGGUCAGGAAGCAGAGAGAGGGGGAUGGGGCCAGAGGGAAGAUGCACUCUGUCAGGGCCCUCUCCUCCAGGGGCCCACCUUCUCCUGCCAUGCCCCACCUGCCUACAGUUCCCACCAGUCAUUCCAUUUCAACUAGAAUGGACUGAUUAGGUCACAGCUCCCCCAAUCCAAUAUUCUUGCUCUAAGAGGAGCUUUGGGAGAUACCUCAUAUGGAAACCAUAGUACCCUGGAUGGCGUAUACAGUGAGGGGUGAGGCAGGUUCCCUUCCGGGGAGCUGAAUGAGGAUUCAGGGUUACCCUGGGGACCACACAUCCCCUGGUUAGGACCCAUUCUCCUGCAUAGAAUCGUGUCCGCUAAGUGAAGCUAGCCAAUCCCUAAAAAACAAAUGCCAAAUGUCUUCUUUGAUAUAAGGAGAGUAACUAAGAACAGAGCAGGGAGGAAGAGCAUGAGAAGAAGAUCACCAUUAAACAGGGAUGAGAGGUGGGAGGGAAAGGGAGAGAGAAGGGAAAUUGCAUGGAAAUGGAAGGAGACC